rnacentral:SRP_RNA from 1 species
ACUUGGUCCUCCCGCAAUGAUAGAUUGUGAACCCCGCCAGGUCCGGAAGGAAGCAACGGUAGCCGUUGAUUCGUGUGCCGGGAUGUGGCUGAGCCAG